CCUACGGGAGGCAGCAGUGGGGAAUAUUGGGCAAUGGGCGCAAGCCUGACCCAGCAACGCCGCGUGAAGGAAGAAGGCUUUCGGGUUGUAAACUUCUUUUGUCAGGGACGAAGCAAGUGACGGUACCUGACGCAUAAGCCACGGCUAACUACGUGCCAGCAGCCGCGGUAAUACGUAGGUGGCAAGCGUUAUCCGGAUUUAUUGGGUGUAAAGGGCGUGUAGGCGGGAAUGCAAGUCAGAUGUGAAAACUAUGGACUCAACCCAUAGCCUGCAUUUGAAACUGUAUUUCUUGAGUGCUGGAGAGGCAAUCGGAAUUCCGUGUGUAGCGGUGAAAUGCGUAGAUAUACGGAGGAACACCAGUGGCGAAGGCGGAUUGCUGGACAGUAACUGACGCUGAGGCGCGAAAGCGUGGGGAGCAAACAGGAUUAGAUACCCCAGUAGUC
rnacentral:rRNA from 1 species